rnacentral:tRNA from 1 species
UGGCUUAGUGGUUAAGAGCACUGGCUGCUCUACCAGAGGUCCUGAGUUCAAGUCUCAG